CUGGCGGCGUGCCUAAUACAUGCAAGUAGAACGCUGAAGAGAGGAGCUUGCUCUUCUUGGAUGAGUUGCGAACGGGUGAGUAACGCGUAGGUAACCUGCCUUGUAGCGGGGGAUAACUAUUGGAAACGAUAGCUAAUACCGCAUAACAAUGGAUGACACAUGUCAUUUAUUUGAAAGGGGCAAUUGCUCCACUACAAGAUGGACCUGCGUUGUAUUAGCUAGUAGGUGAGGUAAUGGCUCACCUAGGCGACGAUACAUAGCCGACCUGAGAGGGUGAUCGGCCACACUGGGACUGAGACACGGCCCAGACUCCUACGGGAGGCAGCAGUAGGGAAUCUUCGGCAAUGGGGGCAACCCUGACCGAGCAACGCCGCGUGAGUGAAGAAGGUUUUCGGAUCGUAAAGCUCUGUUGUAAGUCAAGAACGGGUGUGAGAGUGGAAAGUUCACACUGUGACGGUAGCUUACCAGAAAGGGACGGCUAACUACGUGCCAGCAGCCGCGGUAAUACGUAGGUCCCGAGCGUUGUCCGGAUUUAUUGGGCGUAAAGCGAGCGCAGGCGGUUUGAUAAGUCUGAAGUUAAAGGCUGUGGCUCAACCAUAGUUCGCUUUGGAAACUGUCAAACUUGAGUGCAGAAGGGGAGAGUGGAAUUCCAUGUGUAGCGGUGAAAUGCGUAGAUAUAUGGAGGAACACCGGUGGCGAAAGCGGCUCUCUGGUCUGUAACUGACGCUGAGGCUCGAAAGCGUGGGGAGCGAACAGGAUUAGAUACCCUGGUAGUCCACGCCGUAAACGAUGAGUGCUAGGUGUUGGAUCCUUUCCGGGAUUCAGUGCCGCAGCUAACGCAUUAAGCACUCCGCCUGGGGAGUACGACCGCAAGGUUGAAACUCAAAGGAAUUGACGGGGGCCCGCACAAGCGGUGGAGCAUGUGGUUUAAUUCGAAGCAACGCGAAGAACCUUACCAGGUCUUGACAUCCCGAUGCUAUUUCUAGAGAUAGAAAGUUACUUCGGUACAUCGGUGACAGGUGGUGCAUGGUUGUCGUCAGCUCGUGUCGUGAGAUGUUGGGUUAAGUCCCGCAACGAGCGCAACCCCUAUUGUUAGUUGCCAUCAUUCAGUUGGGCACUCUAGCGAGACUGCCGGUAAUAAACCGGAGGAAGGUGGGGAUGACGUCAAAUCAUCAUGCCCCUUAUGACCUGGGCUACACACGUGCUACAAUGGUUGGUACAACGAGUUGCGAGUCGGUGACGGCGAGCUAAUCUCUUAAAGCCAAUCUCAGUUCGGAUUGUAGGCUGCAACUCGCCUACAUGAAGUCGGAAUCGCUAGUAAUCGCGGAUCAGCACGCCGCGGUGAAUACGUUCCCGGGCCUUGUACACACCGCCCGUCACACCACGAGAGUUUGUAACACCCGAAGUCGGUGAGGUAACCUUUUGGAGCCAGCCGCCUAAGGUGGGACAGAUGAUUGGGGUGAAGUCG
rnacentral:rRNA from 1 species